rnacentral:rRNA from 1 species
AGCCAAGCUACUAAGGGCACACGAUGGAUGCCUUGGCGCUAGAAAGCGAAGAAGGACGUGGCUUGUCUGCGAUAAGCCUCGGGGAGCCGACAAGUGGGCUUUGAUCCGGGGAUGUCCGAAUCGGGAAACCGGGCAGAAGAUAUUCUGUCAUCCUCCACUGAAUUCAUAGGUGGAGAGAAGCAAACCUGGGGAAGUGAAACAUCUUAGUACCCAGAGGAAGAGAAAUCAAACGAGAUUCCCCUAGUAGUGGCGAGCGAACGGGGAACAGGCCAAACCAAGCGACUUCGGUCGCUUGGGGUUGUAGGGCUGGCAUUUAGGAUCCGUGAUUAGAUAGUUGAACCGGCGUGGAAUAGCCGACCAAAGAGGGUGAAAGUCCCGUAAGCGAAAUCGACAAGCGGCUGAGCCAGUUCCUGAGUACCACAGGGCACGAGCAACCCGGUGGGAACCUGGGUCGACCAUGAUCCAAGCCUAAAUAUUCUCUAGCGACCGAUAGCGAACAAGUACCGCGAGGGAAAGGUGAAAAGCACCCCGGUUAGGGGAGUGAAAGAGACCUGAAAUCGUGUGCCUACAAGCAGUUAGAGGCCUAUGGUUCGUCCAGGCUGAUAGCGUGCCUUUUGCAUAAUGAUGUGGCGAGUUAUCCUAUGCAGCGAGGUUAAGUCGAUUAGACGAAGCCGAAGGGAAACCAAGUCUUAAAAGGGCGUUGAGUUGCAUGGGGUAGACCCGAAGCGCGGCGAGCUAGACAUGGGCAGGUUGAAGCGAGGGUAAAACCUCGUGGAGGACCGAACCGGUGGAAGUAGAAAAUUUCUCGGAUGACCUGUGUAUAGGGGUGAAAGGCCAAUCAAGCCGCGGGAUAGCUGGUUCUCCCCGAAAGAUAUUUAGGUAUCGUCUCGGGUAAUUCAGUUCUGGGGGUAGAGCACUAACAGGGCUAGGGGUCUUACCAGAUUACCAAACCCUAUUAAACUCCGAAUACCAGAAACUGUUACCCCGGGAAGCAGUCAUACCGUGCUAAGGCGGCGUGACAAGAGGAUAAGAGUCCAGACCGACAGCUAAGGUCCCAAAGUUCCGGCUAAGUGGUAAAGGAUGUGGAAACGCUGUGACAACCAGGAGGUUGGCUUAGAAGCAGCCACCCUCUAAAGAAAGCGUAAUAGCUCACUGGUCAAGUGGGUCCGCGCCGAAAAUUUAACGGGGCUCAAGCCGGGCACCGAAGCUUCGGAUGUGCAUUGGAUACGUUCUGAUGCACGUGGUAGGGGAGCAUCGUCAGGGCUGUGAAGAUGAACCGAAAGGAUGCAUUGGAGCGCUGACGAGAGAUUAUGCCACAAUGAGUAGCGAUAAACAAAGUGAGAAACUUUGUCGCCGAAAACCCAAGGUUUCCCGGGCCAGGUUAAUCCGCCCGGGGUUAGUCGGGAUCUAAGCCGAGGCCGCAAGGCGUAGUGCGAUGACGAGCAGGUUAAUAUUCCUGCACCUGUAUGAGCGUUGAAGCAAGCGGGGACGAAGAAGGUUACCUGGGCCACCGAACGGAAAUGGUGGUCGGUCUUUAUAGCUGGGAGCAUACGAAACCAAAGGUGCUCCCGUUAAGGCAAAGGAAGAUCGCAAUGUCUAGUCUUCGGACCAGAUAAAGUCAGUCAUACCAUGCUUUCAAGAAAAGCCGCGUGUGGAGCAAAAUACAGCCCGUACCGUAAACCGACACAGGUGGGUGGGAAGAGAAUUCCAAGGCGCUUGAGAGAACCAAACCUAAGGAACUCUGCAAAUUGACGCCGUAACUUCGGGAGAAGGCGUGCCCUCAGUAGGUCUAAAUCUUUACGAGUAAAGCCGAAGAGGGUUGCAAAUACCAGGCGGUGGCGACUGUUUACCAAAAACACAGCACUCUGCAAACCCGCAAGGGGACGUAUAGGGUGUGACGCGUGCCCAAUGCUGGAAGGUUAACAGAAUCCGUUAGAGCAAUCGAAGCGGUGAAUCGAAGCCCCAGUGAAUGGCGGCCGUAACUAUAACGGUCCUAAGGUAGCGAAAUUCCUUGUCGGGUAAGUUCCGACCUGCACGAAUCGCGUAACGAUCUCCGCACUGUCUCGGGUUUGGACUCAGCGAAAUUGAGAGCGCUGUGAAAACGCAGUGUACGUACGGCAAGACGGAAAGACCCCGUGAACCUUUACUGCAACUUGACAGUGAUAUUCGAACCAGCUUGCGUAGGAUAGGUGGGAGGCUUUGAAGCGGUGAUUCUGGUCAUCGUGGAGCCGCCGUUGAAAUACCACCCUGGUUCGUUUGGGUAUCUAACCUAGGCCUCUCAGCGAGGUCAGGGACACUGUCUGGUGGGCAGUUUGACUGGGGCGGUCGCCUCCCAAAGAGUAACGGAGGCGCGCGAAGGUUCCCUCAGCCUGAUUGGAAACCAGGCGUCGAGUGUAAUGGCACAAGGGAGCUUGACUGCAAGACAGACAUGUCGAGCAGGUGCGAAAGCAGGUCAUAGUGAUCCGGUGGUUCUGCAUGGAAGGGCCAUCGCUCAACGGAUAAAAGGUACUCCGGGGAUAACAGGCUUAUCACGCCCAAGAGUUCACAUCGACGGCGUGGUUUGGCACCUCGAUGUCGGCUCAUCGCAUCCUGGGGCUGAAGUCGGUCCCAAGGGUUAGGCUGUUCGCCUAUUAAAGCGGUACGCGAGCUGGGUUCAAAACGUCGUGAGACAGUUUGGUCCCUAUCUGCCGUAUGCGGAGGAAAUUUGAGGGAAGCUGACUUUAGUACGAGAGGACCGAGUUGGACGAACCUCUGGUGUACCAGUUGUCACGCCAGUGGCACAGCUGGGUAGCCAUGUUCGGACGGGAUAACCGCUGAAAGCAUCUAAGCGGGAAGCCCCUCCCAAGAUUAGAUUUCCCAGUCGUAAGACGCUGAAGGCCCCUCGAAGACUACGAGGUAAUAGGUUGGGUGUGGAAGCCUCGCAAGAGGUGGAGCUUACCAAUACUAAUCGGCCGGCCGGCUUGGCAUU